rnacentral:rRNA from 1 species
AGUGAACGCUGGCGGUAGGCCUAACACAUGCAAGUCGAACGGCAGCACAGUAAGAGCUUGCUCUUACGGGUGGCGAGUGGCGGACGGGUGAGGAAUACAUCGGAAUUUACUUUUUCGUGGGGGAUAACGUAGGGAAACUUACGCUAAUACCGCAUACGACCUACGGGUGAAAGCAGGGGAUCUUCGGACCUUGCGCGAUUGAAUGAGCCGAUGUCGGAUUAGCUAGUUGGCGGGGUAAAGGCCCACCAAGGCGACGAUCCGUAGCUGGUCUGCGAGGAUGAUCAGCCACACUGGAACUGAGACACGGUCCAGACUCCUACGGGAGGCAGCAGUGGGGAAUAUUGGACAAUGGGCGCAAGCCUGAGCCAGCCAUACCGCGUGGGUGAAGAAGGCCUUCGGGUUGUAAAGCCCUUUUGUUGGGAAAGAAAAGCAGCAGGUUAAUACCCCGCUGUUCUGACGGUACCCAAAGAAUAAGCACCGGCUAACUUCGUG